AUGGCUCCCAGCGUGGAGCCCCUCGGCCCUGUCUCUGCCUUCGGCGGAUUGACAUCAGAAACCGGCGGCCAGCGAGUGCAAAUCCAUGGCGAUCUGAACCGCAACUGCCAAGUCCACGGCAAGAUGGCGUACAGAAAGGAAUUGAUCAGAAGAUGCCCCGCGAUGGUGCUUUGGGCAAAAAGCCAUGGUGGUCUUCAACCCCGUCCACGAGAUGGCGAGAUGGAUCGAUCGCUACUCAGACAGAAAGAGGAAGAAAUCCUUGAACAAGGAAGACGCACAGAGCAGGACACGGGCGUUGGCAUCCACGAUCAAUUGAUUAGUAACUGCCCUCCUCACGGCAAGACUUGGAACGGCGCCUCAGGCCAUUCACCAAAAAGACAGACAAUGCAUCAGUUUGCAUGCAUCCGUACAAGAAAUUGA
rnacentral:rRNA from 1 species